rnacentral:tRNA from 1 species
CGGGAUGUGGCUCAGCUUGGCUAGAGCGCUGCGUUCGGGACGCAGAGGCCGCAGGUUCGAAUCCUGCCAUCCCGACCA